AUGGCGGAACGGGCCAAUCUGGUCUUUCAUAAUAAAGAGAUAGACGGAACUGGUAUGAAACGACUUAUUAGCAGAUUAAUAGAUCAUUUUGGAAUGGGAUAUACAUCCCAUAUACUGGAUCAACUAAAGACUCUGGGCUUCCAUCAAGCCACUACUACAUCGAUUUCGUUAGGAAUCGAGGAUCUUUUAACAAUACCCUCUAAGGGAUGGUUAGUCCAAGACGCGGAACAACAGAGUUUUCUUUUGGAGAAACACUAUUAUUAUGGGGCUGUACACGCGGUAGAAAAAUUACGCCAAUCUGUUGAGAUAUGGUAUGCGACAAGUGAAUAUUUGAAACAAGAAAUGAAUUCAAAUUUUUGGAUAACGGAAAUUUAA
rnacentral:rRNA from 1 species